AGCUCCAAUAGCGUAUACUAAUAUUGUUGCAGUUAAAAAGCUCGUAGUUGGAUUUCUGGCUGUUUGUGCGCGUCGCCAGGUGCUAACUUAGGUUUGUGCCGUGCGUGCUGAUGCGCACCAGCCAUCCUUCUGGUGUAUGUUUCUUUGGAUUCAUAUUUUCCAGAUCGAUUACUUUGAAGAAAUUAGAGUGUUCAAGCAGG
rnacentral:rRNA from 1 species